rnacentral:lncRNA from 1 species
AAACAAAACCCUACAAAGACACGCCUGUUGUGGGAUAGACGCCUAUUGGGAGAAAACUUAACCUCUUAACGAUCAUCUCCCCAAAGUUCAAAGAGUUUCACUGUUUAAUUGUUGCGUUUAAAAAUCAGAAUCUCAUGGCAAUGUCUCGCUCUUUUCUGUUAAAGCAACAGGUUUGACAUCUAAACUUUCCUUUACCAAAUUCUCUUUUCUGUUAAGCUUUCUUCCAUAUUUUGCUGUGCUUUUAGUUUCGUUUCAGAAUUUCAUUAGUUAGUUUCACUUUAUCUAUGGAAUCUGUGGUAUUGGUGACUUUUUUCUCUUUUUAUUUAUUUAUCAAUCCAUUUAUGUAUUAGUUUUCAUGUUCUUUUGCGCUGAUUUGUUGGCUGAUUUUGCACAUUAAAUGGAGAAGUGAACAAGUUUAAUCGUUUUAUAGAGUGUUCUGGAGAAGUGGUUGACGCCAUAAAUGACAAUCCAAAUAAUUUCUCAUAAUUUAGAGUUUUGGUACUUCUGCGCUGUAGUAGAUAAAUUGGUCAAACACUGUUGGUCAUAUUUUUAUAACGAAUCAAUUUUUCUUAUAUUGUUCUGUUUUGUAAAAAUGUAUUCUCUCAUUUGUUAUUCAAUCUUUUCUCUACGAUUCUGUGAAUUUUACAUGAAACAAAGAUAAUGGAUUUGGUUUAUCCAAUGUGAGUGUAUGAGUCAGGAUUGAAGCUACGGAUUCCUUAAUCCUUACUUAUCAAGAAACUCUUCUUUCAUUCGUGAUGUCAAUUUCUACUAUGGCUUGAAGUACAGCACUUGACAAGUCAUUUUUUGAGAAAAGAAAUUUAGCAUACAAUUAUUUAGCCCUCCCAUAAAUGUCAUUUUCAAGUAAGAACUACCCUUAACCAAUAUUUAUGAAAAGUCAUUUAUUUACCAAACCGAAAAAACCGUUACAAUUAUGAAAGGUAAAAUAUUUCAUCAUGGAUUGUGCAGAUUAAGUUACCGAGGACUCGAUUUAUUAGAAAGGCAACACUCUUCAUCAAUCUCGAAAUCUGUUGAAUAUUUAUAGUUUGUAGUGAGUAUGAUAGCUCUCAUUGAAGGAACAAAGGUAUGUCAACUGAAAUUAAUUUAGCUCCAGUUAUUGGUUCUAUUUAAUGUAUCAUGAAAAUAGGGAGUAUUUUGUUAAGAAGAUUAAGCUUGUACGUGGAUUAUAAUUUGCUAUGAUUGCUCUUCAACAUGCAUUUGAUUUAGAUUCAUCGAUGUCAACAAUAAAGAAUUAUUAUACAAAUUAAAGUUUAAUAUUUAUAGGUGUGCCAUAAUAAUUAAAACCAUAGGAAAGAAAAAUAUUACUGGUGUAAACAUCAGACUGGGUUGUAUUUAGUUAUGAUUAUUUCUGUUAAAUUCAAAUUCACAUCCAUUUAAAGAAAAUUUUGAACUGGUCUGGUCCUAUUUUCUAUAUCCCUAUACUCAUUAUUUGCUCAACUGAUGCACCUUAAAUUUAGUUAUAUAGUUACUACAAUUUCACUUUUCCUUACAACACCAUAAUUUUAGCCUUAAUAAGUUACCUACAUUUUAAGCCAGAAUAAUAGGAACUACCAAGAUCAUGUUUUAUCACAAUAUUUCUAAUAAUAUAUAUGGUAUGUAACGACCCGAUCGAUCGUUUUGAGAUCUAGGUUUGACGGUUUGAGGCCUUGAGUAGCUUGGCUUCAUAUUUUAUGACUUGUACGUGUGGUCGGAAUUGAAUUUCGGGAAGUUCGGAGUUGAUUUGGAGAGAAAAUUCUAAUUUCGGAAGCUUUAAGUUGGAAGAAUUGACUAAGAUUUGACUUUUGAGUAAACGGCCUCGGAAUCAAGAUUUGAAGGUUCAAAUAGGUUCGUAUGAUGAUUUCGGACUUGGGCGUAUGUUCGGGUUGAGUAUCGGGUGAUUCGGGAGUAUUUCGACACUUAUUGUAGAAAGUUGGUAUUUUUAAAAGUUUUAGAAUUUCAUAAGUUUGUGUUGAAGUGUAUUUUAAUGUUAUCGAUAUCCGUUUGGGGUUCCGAGCCUUGAAAUAGGUUUGUAUCGUUAUUUUUGACUUGCACGCAAAGUUUGGCGUCAGUCCGGAAUGUCUUGAUAUGGUUCGUAUGCGUUCGUCGAAGUUUGAAAGUUUAAAGCAGGAUUUCGAUCGUUGAUUUGUAGUUUCAAUGUUGUUUGGCGUGAUUUGAGGCCUCGACUAAGUUCGUAAUAUAUUUUGGGACACGUUGGUAUAUUUGGUCAAGGUCUCGGGGCCUCGGGUGGAUUCCAGAUGGUUAACAGAUUGGAUUUUGGACUUAAGGAAAAGCUGGAGAAUUCUGACUGCUGGUGCAACCGCUUCUGCGGAAGCUUCAUCGCAGAAGCAAUCUCGCAGAAGCGAGGUAAUCGCCGCAGAAGUGGCUGGAAAGGAAGUUGGUCAGAGGCUAAUUGCUCAUCGCAGAAGCAGGGCUUUGCGCGCACCUGCGCAUCUGCAGGAGCGGAAAUGUUGAGCGCAAGAACGGAUGGCAUCGCAGAAGCGGCAGUGGCUUGCACAUGCGGGUGCGUAGAAGCGGAGCCCUUGUCCGUAGGUGCGAAGGGGCUAUCCCCAGUGCUGCUUUGCAGAUGCGCAUUUUUUGUCGCAAAAGCGAGUCUGCAAGUGCGAUAAAUUCGUCCGCUUGUGCGAAAGUCGUUGGGCAGUGGGGGUGUUUUUAAUCCGAGACUUAGCCCAUUUCUUUCAAAUUUUCAUUUGGUUAGGCGAUUUUUGGAAUUCUUGGAGGGGAGAUUUUCAUCAUCUAUAUCAAGGUAAGUAAUUCCCGCAUAUUGUGAGUUAAAUACAUGGUUUAUAUAUGGAUUUAAACAUGGAAAUUAGUAAAAAUCUGAGAUUUUGGUAGAAACCCUAGAAAUUGAUAUUUUUGGAUUUUGACCACGAAAUUGGACAUGAAAUUUGGAAUAAAUUAUAUAUUUGAAUUCGUGGUGUUAUGGGUAAAGUUUAUCUUUGAAAAAAUUUGGAAUCCGGGCACGUGAGCCCGGGGGUUGACUUUUAUUGACUUCUCGAGCGGAGUUUGGAUUUAUUAUAAAAUGUAAAAUUGUAAGUAUUGGGUUUGAUUGAUUUACAAAUUGUUUGACUAGUUUCGGAUCGAUGGGAGUUGCUUUGAGGUGUUAGAGAGGCACGAGAGCUGAUUAUGGAACUUCGAAGCGAGGUAAGUCUCCUGUCUGUGAGGGAGAAACUACCCCUAGGUGAUAUUUAUUGUUAUGUGCAACUAGUCGUGGGUGCUACGUAUGCACGAGGUGACGAAGGUCCGUACGUAGCUAAAGCAUGAUUAUGUCUGGGUAGACUUAGGGUUUUAUCAUAUAAUAUUUAAAUUGUUUGGACUCAUUUUGCUAGUUUAAAUAAAUUAAAAUUUUAACUGAGAUGGAUUUAGAAACAUAUAAACAUGUGAGGCCGAGCUUUAUCACCUUGAGUUGUUGCUAAGAGAUUUGAUAAAUGUAAGGGGUAUAUUUAUUAUUGUGCCAUUGUAUUGUAUUGUAAGCAUGUGCCUCGUAAUUCGAUAAUUUCCUUCCUUUCUUGUGGAGUGGGCCGAAUGCCUCGGCAGUAUAAUAGAUGCAUCUAUGGUUCGUGCCGCUUGAAACUCGGUAGUGUACACAUUAUUCUGGAUCGGGCAGAACAACCUCGGCAGAAUCGUGCGUUAUAUCGCUAGUAGUCUGAAUAUUCUCGAGAUAAUCUUUCCACUGAUGCCCGACAUUUUAAAUGGUAUUCCUUAUUUAUUUGAUAUUGGCACUUGACAUUUUCGGAGCUGUUAAGGUAGACUACAAGAUUGAUGUCACGACCCAAUUUUUUCUCCGUUGGAUAUCGUGAUGGCACUUAGUCUUAGGGACUAGGUAAGCCUAACAUUUACUGAAUAACAACAAUAAUUAAAUAACAUCUAACAAUUUUUUAAAUGGAAAAUCUCUAUAAAAUUUAUAAUUCUCAAAAGCGGUAGUACAAAUCAUAAGCUAUACAGAGUUUUACUAAAAACUUCUAAAUACAACUAUUUGGAAAUAAGGUAAACAGUGUGAAUACAAAAUAAGAAGGUGACUCCGAAGCCUACGAACGCAACAACAGGUUUACCUUGAGUCUCCACAGCAACAAUCCGCGCAACUAGCUAAUGAUCAACUGACUUCGAAAAUACCUGGACCUGCACAAAAUUGUACAGAAGUACAGUAUGAGUACACCACAGCAGUACCCGGCAAGUAUCAAGACUAACCACAGUGGAGUAGUGACGAAGUACAGUCAAGACAUCUACUGGACUAAAUAACCUGAACAAUUAUAAGUAUAGGAACAAUAGAGUAUGAUAUCUACAUAAGGACUACGCGAAAUGGUAAAUAAUACGAUAAUUUCAGUAAGAAAGGAAAACAACAACUAUCAGCGGAACACCAUAGUAAUUACAUAGAAGAACGAACGAAAACACAACCUAAAUCCGAUGAACACAAUUAAAAGUGUGAUGACCCAAAAUGUCAUCUUUAAAUUUAAUAAGUAAUUAUGUAUUCUAAAAUCUCAAAAAGCACCAUUUAUCAUUCUUCGACUUGCGUGCGCAGUCCGUACAAUUUUCCGAAAAGUUUUUAUGUGAAAAAUGGAUUAAAAUGUGAAAUAGAGCUUUAAAACUCAACUAAGUUGACUUUAGUCAAUAUUUUACAAACGGACCCGAAUCAGUGUUUUGAAAAUUCCAGUAGGUCCGUAUCAUGAUUUGGGACUUGGGCGUAUGUCCGGAAUUAAAUUCCGAGGUCCCUACCUCGAGAUAUGGAAUUUUGAAGAAAUAUUAAAAGUUUGAAAGCUUAAUGAUUUUUAAGAAAUUACUGAUAUUAGAUUUAUUGAUCUCGGGUCCGUAUUUUGGUUCCGGAUCCUGGUAUAGGUCCACUAUAAUAUUUAUGACUUGUCUGCCGAAUUUAGUGAGAAUCGGAGUUGAUUUGACGUGAUUCGGACGUCCGGUUGUAAAAAUAUAAGUUUUAAAGUUUUCUUGAAAACUUCCUUUGAUUUGGUGUCCGAUUCGCAGUUGUAGGUGUUAUUUUGGCGAUUUGAUCGUGCGAGCAAGUUCGUAUGAUAUUUUAGGACUUGUGUGCAUGUUUGGUUUGGAGCCCCGAGGGCUCGAGUGAGUUUCGGAUAGGCUACGGGAUGUUUUGGACUUUGAAAAUUUGGUAUUUUGCUGUAGCAGGUGUUCUGGCAUGUCCUUCUUCGCGUUCGCGAAGGUACUCUCGCGAAUGCGAAGAGUAAACUGGGCAGCUGAAGUUUUCUUCUUCGCAAAUGNNNNNNNNNNNNNNNNNNNNNNNNNUGUCGAAUAUUUUAAUGAAUUUUGGAUUUUUAUCCGAAAAAUUUGUAAAUUCAUAUGGAAUUAAUUCCUAUGAUUAAUAUUGAAUAUAUUGAAUUAUUUGUGAAUAGAUUUGAAGCUUUCGGAGGCAAAUUUAAAAGGAAAAUCUGUGGUUGAAUAAUUGAUUGAAAUUUGCAAAGCGAGGUAAGUGUCGAGGUUAACUUUGACUUGAGGGAAUAGAACCCUUAAAUUGUUUGUUAUGUGAAUUACAUGUAAACGACGUAUAGGCGAGGUGAUGAGUGUCUAUACAUCGUCAAAUUAAUUAUUUACCUGCUUACUUGAAAAAUCACAAAUAAUUUUUAAUCAUAAAUUAAUUAUUAUAAUAAUUGUUUCUCUCUUAUUCUUUGCAAAUAUAAAUUCUUGAAUUCCUGCAUUAAUUGUUACAUGCUAUUUGAUUAUGUGCCUUAAUUGUUAUUUGGCAUUUAGCAUAAUAAAUAUUAAACUGUCUAUUUGCUCCCUGAUUUCCAUAAUAAUUUGCUAUUUGUCAUUGUUUGCGUCAUAAUUAAACCAUAAUUAUUGUGUGCUUGUUGUCUUGUAAUUUUAUAUUAAUUGUUACAUUUAUUGGAAAAAUUUCUUCUAUAAGAAUUGGUUAAUGAAAAUGUUGGAGGAGCGGGUUGCACGUCGCAACAUGAUUAAUUAUAAUGAAUAUAUUGGAGGAUCGGGUUGCAUGCCGUAACAGACUUAUUAAAAGUCUAUAUUGGAGGAUCGGGUUGCACGCCGCAACAGACUUAUUAAAAGUCAAUAUUGGAGGAUCUGAUUACACGCCGCAAUAGACUUGUUAAAAAGUUAAUAUUGGAGGAUUGGGUUGCAUGCCGCAACAGACUUGAUUAAAAUGAAUAUGUUGGAGGAGCGGGUUGCACGCCGCAACAAAACUGAAUGUGGAUAUAUUAUGAGAGCGGGUUGCAAGCUGCAACAGAAAUAAUGGAAAUGAUAAUUGGUUAUGACUGCUGAGUUGCCUUCAAUUAUUAUAAAUGAAUUACUUAAUUUAUUCCUAUUAUUGUUGUUGUUACUAAUAUUGCGUACAGGUUAAUGUAAGUGAACCGCCUUAGCCUCGUCACUACUUUGUCGAGGUUAGGCUCAGCACUUACCAGUACAUGGGGUCGGUUGUACUGAUACUACACUCUGCACUUCUUGUGCAGAUUUUGGAGUUGGUCCCAGCAGCGUACCAUAGACUUGCUCGGAUUUCAGCUAUCAGAGGAAACUUGAGGUACAACUGCAUGGCGUUCGCAGUUUUGAAGUCCCCGUCUAUUGUACUUUAGCUGUGUGUGUAUUUUCAGACAGCUUUAUUUUAUUCAGACCUUUAUUUAUAUUUAUUCUAGAAGCUCGUGCACUUGUGACACCAAUUCUGGGAUGAUAUUUAGACACCAUUAUUAUUAUGGAUUAUUUCAAAAUUGCUUCCGCAUUUGCUUCC